UACGUAGGGUGCAAGCGUUGUCCGGAAUUAUUGGGCGUAAAGAGCUCGUAGGUGGCCUGUCGCGUCGGCUGUGAAAACUCGGGGCUCAACUCCGAGCUUGCAUUCGAUACGGGCAGGCUCGAGUUCGGUAGGGGAGACUGGAAUUCCUGGUGUAGCGGUGAAAUGCGCAGAUAUCAGGAGGAACACCGGUGGCGAAGGCGGGUCUCUGGGCCGAUACUGACGCUGAGGAGCGAAAGCGUGGGGAGCGAACAGG
rnacentral:rRNA from 1 species